CUUUGUUUUAUCUGACUUGGAAUUUAGUAGUGUUGAAUACUUUUUUUUUUUAAUGCUAUCAUCUCAUAUUUCUUUUUUUUUUUUAAAUUGAGGGGGUUGUAUCUUUGGUGGUAACAAUGUUAAUCUAAUGCUCACAAGAAUUUUGAAACACUGUAUAUCCACAAAAUUAUGCAGCUAUCAUCUCUGUCUUAAUUUCAGGACAUUUCAUUACUCCCACAGAAAACCCUGAACUCAUUAUCGAUCCUUUUAUAUUCAUCCUCCCUCCAGACAACCCUGAUCUACUUUUUGUGUCUAUGAUUUUAUUUAUUCUGAACUUUCAUUUAAGUGGAAUUAUAAAAUAUGUGCCUUUUAUGUCAGUUAUGGCAAAAUGAAGUCAUUACCCUAUGAUAUUUACCUAAGAAGUAAAGAUUCUCUUUCUAUAAACAGAAAAUAUUGAUAAAUGAUGGUUAUAGUUAAAUAAUCAUAAAUAGAAAUGAUUUAUUGUAUUUGCAUUUUGUAUUGUAUUUGUAUUUAUUGUACUUGUAUUUUGGAAACUUGGAAGUGUGAAAUGUUCUAGGCUUUGAUAGAAGUGAUAGAAAUGACAUGCACUUUAGGGGUAGCAUAGUUGGUACCUGUUCCUAGCCUUUUCUGAGUUGACCAAUGUCAGUGCUAAUUGGUUGCAUAAAAUGUGAUGUAGAACUAAACUAAUAAAAUCUGAUUGAGCUGAAUCCCUCUAUUUCUACCUUACCCAUUAUUGGGUUGAAUUCUCCAGGAAUGAAGAAUAAGCCUGAAAAGGAUCAGGCUUUUGCUUAUUGGGAACUUAACUGUUUUCCAGGGCAACUGAUUCUCAUGGAAAUGUAGAGAAACUGUAGAACCACAGCAGAUGGACAGCAUUGUAAAU
rnacentral:lncRNA from 1 species